GCCCUCAUGGCGGAAUUGGUAGACGCGCAAGUUUCAGGUAUUUGUGUUCGAAAGGACGUGGAAGUUCGAGUCUUCUUGAGGGCA
rnacentral:tRNA from 1 species